AACCGGCUGUUUUAGCUUGAGCCACAUGGAUGCGAUUUGAUUAUUCUCUGGAUCAUGAACUAAUUCUUUUGUGAGAUCGAGAUUGCACCAAGAUCUCCCUCUUUCUGUCGAGUCCUUGGGCUGAUCAUCACUUCUCUCCGAAAGCAAUAAGUUCUUGCUGUUCAGAGAAGAUAUAUCGGAAUCUGGCGCACCGGUGGCAGGUUUCGGUGCAAUCGGCCUGAAUCGGAGCAUUAUCUGGUCGAUUAUAGUCUUAUCCUGCGUACCACCAGCCCAUCGUAUCAUGCGCCACCUCUCUCCACCAUCCAUUGCUCUUCACCUUCACCUGUUGAGCUCAGGCGAUAAUCAAAGCAAAGCAGCACAGGGACGAAAGUGUAAAAGCAACACGUGUGUAGGGCAAGCGAGAAGCAGAUGAGAGAUGUAAUUGGCCGGAUAUCUUUGUAGGAGGUGGGUCCAUCUAAAAAGUAGCGUAUCAAGGCGUAAUUAAGCGAUGAGGAUGGUCCCACAGGAGCAACCAAUGAGAGAAGGGAAAGUGUGCAGCACUGCCGAAAGAGAGGACACGUAGCCACUGUCCUAGAUUGUCGCGUCACUGUUCACUGAAGUGGAAAUGUGCCAAAAAGGCUUUUGGUUAGCUUCGAGAAAAGGCACACGUAGUUCUAUUCUAUUAGCCCAUCACAUCAAAA